rnacentral:rRNA from 1 species
GUCUACGGCCAUACCACCCUGAACGCGCCCGAUCUCGUCUGAUCUCUGAAGCUAAGCAGGGUCGGGCCUGGUUAGUACUUGGAUGGAAGAAACCACUGUGGGGAACAUAGCAGGCUCCCUAUGACU